rnacentral:snoRNA from 1 species
GAGCUAUGAUCUACCUCGACAUAAAGUAUUUGAAUAAAAUACAUUCCAUGAGGGCUUCUACACUUGAACUGAGCUCA